ensembl:lncRNA
UUACUGGCAAAGGUACAGCCACAACCACAAACAUAAACACAAACGAAAGGACCGGUAUAAAUGCAAACCUGAAAUUGAACAAACUGUACUCCCUCUUGUACUUAUUUUUAAAAAAAAUAAAAAAAAUUAAUUGGGAUGUUGAAAAUGUAUAUAAAAAAAAAAAUGACAAUAAGAAAUCUGUUAAUUCGAUUUGUAAAAUGUUUUUAUAUUAGUAAAAAAAAAUAUAUUAUGAAAAAAAGUGUAGCACUGCAGUUAGAACAUAUAAUAAAUCAUUAUACUGAAAAAAAACAACAAAGAUUUGAUUCUUAUAUCGAGUGAUAAAUUAAAAAAAAAAGAUGGAAUUUUUCACAAACUAUAUCAUGAUAAUGACUUAGAUGAUGUAAAUGAAAUAGAAAAUGGAUCUUUAGAAGAAUUUAGUCGAAGUUUAUCAUUUGAUAGUGUUGCACUAAAUGAAUAUUAUACCAACCGUAACGAUCUUAAUCAAUAUAAUUACGAAGGAAAGAAAAAAAAAAAAGGAAAAAAAAAAAAAACAAAAAAAAUUAAAAACGAUGGUAACACUUAUUUAUUUAGUAAGGAAGGACAUAAUAAACAUACAUCAAAUUUAACAAAAAGAAUUUCUAAUGUUAAUAUAGGUAAAGAGGUUACAUAUAUUAGUAAAAAAAGUUAUAAAAAUAAAAAUACAUUAUUAAAUAUACCUUCAUGUGAUUAUAUACAAAAUAAAAAAAAAAUAAUAACAAAACAAACUACUCAAAAUUUUCUAUUCGAAAAAUUUUGUAUUAUUAGUAUUUUUUCAUCCUUGUAUGAAUUGUUAAUUUGUAAUUUUCAUAUUUUUGCAUAUAAAUCGAAUAUGUUUAUUUUGAAUACAUUUGGUGGUGGUAAAAGUUUUAAGAGACGAGUUAGAAAAAAGGAAUGUGGUACUCGCACCUGUAUACAUACGCAGAGACAGAAACAAAAAGGGAGAAAAAGACAAAGAGAGAGACAGGGACAAAAAGAGAGAAAGAGACAAAGAGGUAUAGAUAGAAGCUACAAAAACAACCCCCACCCUGUAAACAAAUACACAUACAUGUUUUAUUACAAAACAAAUAUAUUAUUAUCAUAUACAGAUAAACUUUCUUCUUUCAUAAAUAAAUACCUUAUUUACGAAUUAAAAAUACAACUAUACAAAUCAGCUUAUAAUAUAAAAAAUACAUUAUUAACAUAUUUAUCUUUUCCCUUUUUUUUUAAUAAAGCAAAAACAAAAAACAAUUAUAUUUUAUGCGAACAUUUUAUUGAUUCAAAUAUAUCAUAUAACUAUAACAUUCAGUUGUAUAUGAUGUGGAAAUUAACUAAUUGUACUUAUAAAUCUUUUUUAUUAUUUUUAAACAAAAAUUUUUAUAAUUACAUGGAUUUUAUGAAUAAUAAAGUUAUGUUAUGUAACAAUAAUUUAACUAACAUUGUAGUAGGUAAUACAAAUAUGGAAAUAAAAAAUGGAAAAAAAAAUGGAAAAAAUAAUGGAAAAAAUAAUGGAAAAAAUAAUGGAAAAAAUAAUGGAAAAAGUAGUGGAAAAAGUAGUGGCAAACGUAAUGGCAAAAGUAGUGGUAAAAGUAGUGGCAAACGUAGUGGCAAAAGUAGUGACAAAAGUAGUGGCAAACGUAAUGGAAAAAACAAACACAACAAAUUACCAUAUGUUUUACCACUAUCACUAUUAUUCUCAAACAUAGCAGACAGACACAUAAUCGAACAAGGACAAAUAGAUAAUGAGAACAGUACAUUAUUAUAUAUACAUAAAAAAAAUAAAAUAAAAAAAGUUAAUGUUUUGGAGCAUUUGAAAAAAUUAAAUGAAAAAUGUCAAUUUAUUAAUUAUAUAUCAUAUAAUAACUUGCAUUAUGAGUUUGGAAAUAAAAGGAAUAAAACCUAUAACCUAUAUGGUUAUAACCGCCAUGACAAACAUAAGGAGGAUUACCAAAAAGAAGCAUUAAAUAUAUUAAACAAAAAUGAUAAUAAUAAUAAUAAUGAUAAUUUGAGUAGUGCAAACAGUAGUAGUGUUUAUGAAAAACGUGUUCCAUUUUGUAACGAACUAAAAAAUAAAGGAGGUAUAUACUUUUUUAGUGACACAGAUGAAGGAAAUAUUAAUAAUUAUAAUGCAUGUGAUGGUAAAAAAACAAAAAAUAUAACAGUUAAUAGUACUAUAAGUAAUAAAUUUUUUUUUUAAAAGAAGUACUAAUUAUACAAAUGAUCAUGUGGUAGAAAGUGACACAGAUUUAUUUAUACAAUCAGAUAAAGAAAAGAAAAAAAAAAAACAAUACUAAUAACAUUGGUGAUAACAGUAGUAGUGAUAAUAGUUGUAAAACAACCACUACUAUUAAUUCUAACAUUAAUACCAAUAUUGGCUAUAAAAAACAAAAAAAUAGAAGCCGAACACGAACUUAUAACACUAACAAUCAUAAAAUAUUUGUUGAUAUAAAUAUGAAUAAAUUAUUAUAUAUAUAUAAAUGUAUGCA